AAAGCAUCAAGACAAGUUAAAAGCUAAGAGUUGUACUAUUAUACCAUAUGAUGAUCCGCCCCGUGAACUAACACAACAUUCAAAUUCCAGGACCUUGGUCCAACAAAAAACUUCAGGGAAUUGUCAGCAGCUGUCUGUCAUGGUAAGGGCAACGAAAGAUGAUGAGCUUAUCAAGUAUAUGUCAAAUCUGCCAUGUUAUCUCCAGCGUGUGGAGAAAACAGAAAACAUCCAGGAUAAGGCUUU
rnacentral:misc_RNA from 1 species